GUCGGGAUAGCUCANUUGGUAGAGCANAGGACUGAAAAUCCUCGUGUCACCAG
rnacentral:tRNA from 1 species